UACGGGGGGGGCAAGCGUUGUUCGGAAUUACUGGGCGUAAAGGGCUCGUAGGCGGCCAACUAAGUCCGACGUGAAAUCCCAAGGCUUAACCUUGGAACUGCGUCGGAUACUGGAUGGCUUGAGAUUGGGAGAGGGAUGCGGAAUUCCAGGUGUAGCGGUGAAAUGCGUAGAUAUCUGGAGGAACACCGGUGGCGAAGGCGGCAUCCUGGACCAACACUGACGCUGAGGAGCGAAAGCCAGGGGAGCAAACGGG
rnacentral:rRNA from 1 species